CCGGUUUCAUUGUGUUUCGUACGUAUAUUUGACUCGCCCGCUACGACUUUCUCUUUGUGCAUUUUUCUGGCGAAAGGCAAUGCCCGUUGUGGACUGGCCGACUCCUUCGUCCAGUGCACCACAGGUUCGUCGGAGAUCUUCGAAACUGGUGCGGCUCGGACUCAAUACUUCGCAACAAAUGCAGUUUCAAGUUCAAAUGCCUCAUGCGGGCUCAAGAUCGCGGGUUCAAACCCGGCUGAGGACGGUAGCAAUGUGGGAGAGGAACACAACGAGACAGUCAGCCGGACGCAAGUUGCAAGAUAGUAUGGCACGUACGAACUCGUCCUGGAGGUGGUCAACCAUGGACAACGUCCCUUCUUCCAGGUGGUCGUCACUUGCGAGGUCGUCGCUACCUGCAAAUUGUCAAGAUAUUUAUCAGGUGAAUUUUGCAUGAUUUCGUGAAAAGAGG